rnacentral:rRNA from 1 species
UACGUAGGGUGCGAGCGUUAAUCGGAAUUACUGGGCGUAAAGCGUGCGCAGGCGGUGAUGUAAGACAGUUGUGAAAUCCCCGGGCUCAACCUGGGAACUGCAUCUGUGACUGCAUUGCUGGAGUGCGGCAGAGGGGGAUGGAAUUCCGCGUGUAGCAGUGAAAUGCGUAGAUAUGCGGAGGAACACCGAUGGCGAAGGCAAUCCCCUGGGCCUGCACUGGCGCUC